UCCCUGAUGCGCUACAAAAGCGGGGCAGC
rnacentral:sRNA from 1 species